UACGGGGGGGGCAAGCGUUGUUCGGAAUUACUGGGCGUAAAGGGCUCGUAGGCGGCCAACUAAGUCGGACGUGAAAUCCCCAGGCUCAACCUGGGAACUGCGUCCGAUACUGGAUGGCUUGAAUUCGGGAGAGGGAUGCAGAAUUCCAGGUGUAGCGGUGAAAUGCGUAGAUAUCGGGAGGAACACCAGUGGCGAAGGCGGCGACCUGGGCCAAUACUGACGCUGAGGUGCGAAAGCGUGGGGAGCAAACAGG
rnacentral:rRNA from 1 species